GAGAGUAUUUGGAUGCACCUGUCUUGUGUGUCUCAGGAGCACAUGCCUGUGGAGUUGUGUGCACAGAGGGAACAGGCAGUGUCGCAUCUGUAGGCUGAGUGUGAGGAGCUGUGCAUGCAGAGUCGCAGAGUUCAGAAGCAGCUGCAGGAAGAACUGGCCAAGCUGCAGCAGCACUGUACAGAGUCCCUGCCGCAGGCCGAGAGCCAUAAACAGUAGGUGUGUGUCUAUUUGUGUCUCAGAGGAACAAUGUCAAAACCUUUUGACAACUUCCUUUCAAUCUGAUCAAAAGGCGUGUCUCUUGACCCAUAUAGCCUUAAACCAUCUGCAUUCAGAACAUGGGACAGAUGGCAUCACUAUAAGAUGGUUAUACUGCAUUAACUCUGAGUCAACUGUGCUUGAUUGGCAGGUUCUAUCUGAGAAGGAGGCAGAGAAGGAUACUCUUACUGAGCGCAUAAUCACCCUCGAGCAUGACAUAGAGACAGCUGCCCUUGAAAAGGAUCGAAUGCGUAGAGACUUCUUGAGCAAACAGGAGCAGGAUAAGGACACAGUUUUAGGGUUGCAAGCAGAGUUUCAGGACAGAGGCAGGAGGCUCAGCAUGAGGUCACAACCCAAGAUUUUACAUUCCAGUUGUUCACAAAAAAAACCUAUAGCUAAGGGGAGUAGUAAAAAUUUGUGCCAGUGCCAAAUAACCAACGUCAUGUAAGUUGGUAGGUGGGUUAGUUAAUGUUGGGCUGUGAGGCAACAUAAAGCCUGUUGGAGUCCAACUUGUACUGUACCUACCAGGGGCAGUCUUGGAGAGUGCAGAACUCAUGUUGAACUUGGCAUUGGUUAAUGUAUACUGAGCAUGCUCCAGGUGCCACCCGUUUGACUGGCCAGCACACAUGUUUGUGCUUGUUUCCAUGUGUGUACACGUCUACCUUUCAGGCUCAAGGUCAACUUUUGGAAUUGACCUCUGCACAUACCUCAGGCCACAGAUUUAGUUGUUUGAACACUCUAUCCCCUUGCACCCAGAGUGAUACCUUACUCAGUGGCUGUGGUGAGAACUUCAUCUCUAGGUGAGGUUGUCUAAUCACCAAGAUGGAUUCUUCUCUCCUGUUUGAUUAUUUUCACUAAUCCUCCUCCAGCUUGAUCUGGUCAGACAAUGACAAACCACCAGUGGUGAGAGGGAAUGAUAAAAGCCAGCAGGGGAGUGAAAAGAAAAGGCUCUCUGUAUGAUAUGAAAAGGAGAAGUUGCAGUCACAAAUAAGCAGGUGCUCAGAAAUAUUUUUUUUCCUGUUCUGUAAUGAAAGCUAUCUCCAUGGAAACACCGCCCCCAACUCUUAAACAGAGGUCAUCUCUAACCCAACUGUCAUUCACUGUGCUACUAAACCAACCCCCCCAUCAAUGAAUUAAACCAGUGCGGGCUUGGCAUGGGCUUAUUUCUUUUAGCUUAAGAUUCAUGAGAAGAAAGCUUCUUGUGUGGCCCAGUGAACUUACACACACACAUUUCUGUUUAACACACUAGUAUCUACUCAUGUUUGUACACACCACUGAUGUUUCUCAUCAUCACUGCUGUGUGUGGCAGUCUUU
ensembl:lncRNA